rnacentral:lncRNA from 1 species
AGAAAACUAGGCCGGAUAGUCGCGAACCGGAUACUCGAGAGUGUACUGUAUACAAGAUCAUCUGGAUAGGCUGAAUCAAGUAAUUCAGAAAUGGUUUUAGUCACGUCAAGCUGUUUGUUAAUGGAUGAUUACAACAUUAGAAUUGGCCUUUUAUUGGUUUCAAAUUAUUAUGGAUCAAACAGAAGGUUUGGUAAUGUUAGAAUAUCUCAGGAUUUGGUGGAUAAUUGUCAAGAGAUAGAACUACUAGAUUUUAUGGCUAGAGGUAAUUUGUUUAUAGGAAUGGUCGUUUCCCAGAUCGGAA